rnacentral:rRNA from 1 species
AGGGCACCACCAGGAGUGGAGCCUGCGGCUUAAUUUGACUCAACACGGGAAAACUCACCCGGCCCGGACACCGUAAGGAUUGACAGACUGAGAGCUCUUUCUUAAUUCGGUGGGUGGUGGUGCAUGGCCGUUCUUAGUUGGUGGAGCGAUUUGUCUGGUUAAUUCCGAUAACGAACGAGACUCUGGCCUAUUAAAUAGGCGAUACAUAGAAAAGUGUAUCGAACUUCUUAGAGGGACAAGCGGCGUCUAGCCGCAUGAAAUAGAGCAAUAACAGGUCUGUGAUGCCCUUAGAUGUCCGGGGCUGCACGCGCGCUACACUGAAAGAGUCAGCGUGCGUUUUACCUAGUUCGGAAGAACCGGGUAACCCAAGUAAAUUCUUUCGUGCUUGGGAUAGAGAAUUGCAAGUAUUUCUCUUAAACGAGGAAUUCCCAGUAAAUGCGGGUCAUAAGCUCGCGUUGAUUACGUCCCUGCCCUUUGUACACACCGCCCGUCGCUACUACCGAUUGGAUGACUUAGUGA